UCGAGAAUUUUUCUCAAUGGGGGAAACCCUGAAGGAGCGACGCCGCGUGGAGGAUGAAGGUCUUCGGAUUGUAAACUCCUGUCAUUUGAGAACAAUGCUAGCCAGUUAACUGCUGGCUAGUUGAUAGUAUCAGAAGAGGAAGAGACGGCUAACUCUGUGCCAGCAGCCGCGGUAAUACAGAGGUCUCAAGCGUUGUUCGGAUUCAUUGGGCGUAAAGGGUGUGUAGGUGGCGCGCUAAGUCAGGUGUGAAAUUUCGGAGCUUAACUCCGAAACUGCAUUUGAUACUGGCGUGCUCGAGGACUGGAGAGGAGACUGGAAUUCAUGGUGUAGCAGUGAAAUGCGUAGAGAUCAUGAGGAAGACCAGUGGCGAAGGCGGGUCUCUGGACAGUUCCUGACACUGAGACACGAAGGCCAGGGGAGCAAACGG
rnacentral:rRNA from 1 species